AGAGUUUGAUCAUGGCUCAGGAUGAACGCUAGCGGGAGGCUUAACACAUGCAAGUCGAGGGGUAUUUCGAGCAAUCGGGAGAGACCGGCGGACGGGUGCGUAACGCGUAUGCAACUUGCCUUAUACAGGGGGAUAGCCCGUGGAAACGCGGAUUAAAACCGCAUAGGUCAUUAGUACUGCAUGGUACAGAUGAUAAAGCUGAGGUGGUAUAAGAUAGGCAUGCGUCUGAUUAGCUUGUUGGUAGGGUAACGGCCUACCAAGGCGACGAUCAGUAGGGGUUCUGAGAGGAUAAUCCCCCACACUGGUACUGAGACACGGACCAGACUCCUACGGGAGGCAGCAGUGAGGAAUAUUGGUCAAUGGGCGAGAGCCUGAACCAGCCAUUCCGCGUGAAGGAAGAAGGCCUUACGGGUUGUAAACUUCUUUUCUGUAAGAAGAAUAGCCCCGACGUGUCGGGGUAUUGACGGUAUUAUAGGAAUAAGCAUCGGCUAACUCCGUGCCAGCAGCCGCGGUAAUACGGAGGAUGCAAGCGUUAUCCGGAUUUAUUGGGUUUAAAGGGUGCGCAGGUGGUUUUAUAAGUCAGUGGUGAAAGUCUGGCGCUUAACGUUAGGAUUGCCAUUGAUACUGUAGGACUUGAGUAUGGAUGAGGUAGGCGGAAUGUGUAGUGUAGCGGUGAAAUGCAUAGAUAUUACACAGAACUCCGAUUGCGAAGGCAGCUUACUAAUCCAUUACUGACACUGAGGCACGAAAGCGUGGGGAUCAAACAGGAUUAGAUACCCUGGUAGUCCACGCCGUAAACGAUGAUCACUCGCUGUUUGCGAUAUACAGUAAGCGGCUGAGCGAAAGCAUUAAGUGAUCCACCUGGGGAGUACGAUCGCAAGGUUGAAACUCAAAGGAAUUGACGG
rnacentral:rRNA from 1 species